rnacentral:rRNA from 1 species
UUAGAUACCCUAUUAUACUAAUAAUGUUUCAGAUUAAUAAUAGUUAUGUUCUUCAAAUUUAAAGAAUUUGGCGGUGGUUUAGUCUUGUUAGAGGAACCUGUUUUUGAAUCGAUACACCACGCGUAAUCUUACUCAUUUUAUUAUAUAAAUUAGUUUAUAUACCGUCAUUAUCAGAUAAUUUUUAAAAAAUAAUUAUUAAACUUUAGGGUAUAAAAGUUAAGCAAAAUUAGAUCAAGGUGUAGCUGAUAAGUGAGUUAAAAUGGGUUACAAUAAAUUCUUAUUUAAUAACGGAGUAGUAAAGGAAUCUGAACUAAUAAAGGUGGAUUUAAUUGUAAUGUGAAUUUAAUAAGUUUUAAAGAUAUAAGCUCUAAAUCAUGUACAUAUCGCCCG